AAAAUCCAAUCAUAUGUUUCUUUCAAUGGCCGUACCGAGCGUGGGCGACGUGGGAUUGGCUGAUCUCCGCAGACCGAUGGGUAGGAACGUGCAGCCGGAUUGGCCAACCCUAUCCAUCAAUCCCCUCUGCCUCCAGCCUCGCAUCCCUCCUCCCCUGCCCCCGUCCACAGUGAUGAGCGGCUAGGCCGCAUCCACAAGAGUAGCAUAUGGGCCAUUGCAGCCACCAUCGGGAGCGGCCGCCUCCUCUCCUCUCCACCACCAGUGAAUGGCGCGGUGUAGGGAGCACCGAGUGCCGCCAAGCACGGCCAACGACCUGGACGCGUAUGGCAGCGGUGGCGGCGUUCGCCUCGGCAAUUUCGACAUCCGAGUCAAGGAGUGGUGGCGCAAGAACACGACGCUGCACGGGAUCGAACCAGAGGGAUGUGAUCCACCCUGUCCAGAGGGUCAUUUAUGUGUGUGGUUAGGGCUUGUGUAAGUACAAAAGAAGCAGCAGAAGAUUGAAAACAUCAUUCUGUGAGCUGCAUGUAUGUGAUGAUUUUGUGACCAUCAGGAUUGAUUUCUUUUAUUAAGUGGCUCAUCAGAUGUUUGAGAAAAUGGCCAUAAGAGGAUUGAUGAAACUUGAAAGAGGUUGUGGUAUUUCUAGCAGAUUGAGAGGAUAACUCGUGACAGGGUUCAGGUGAAGUGCGAAAGACCCACCAUGACCUGCGAGUUAAUGGUUUUUGGGGUGAUUGAUGAUACAUCAAGGAUUACGAAGUCCUGCUUCUCCUAAUAUACUGCCGCAAACAAUGUUGUAUAUUUAACAAAAUUGCCUAGAUGAUGAUAUGAUCUUUGACAGUGAUUGAUGAGGAUUACGAUGGUCUAUAUAGAUUAUCCAAUCAGUACAUGUGGUCCACUACUCUGGUUGAUACACAACCUCAACCAGUGCUGCCUAUUUCUUUUCAAACAGGGACAAUCUUCCUGUGCAAAAUAAUUUGGAACAGAGGCACCAUGUGUGCUCCGUGCAUUUUCAGCUUGAACGCACGGAUGUACAUGUGCAUAUAUAUUUUGACGCACUAGAUGCGUGCUAUUUUUUUACAACAUCCUCUUGUGGUGAUUUGGACAAGCAAACAAAUACUUGGAAAAUUUGACGACCAUUGGAGUGCAGCAAAGAUGGGAGGAGAAUCAGGUCCCACUGGGCGUGCCAUUUUGUUUCGCCAAAAAGAAACGCGCCGCUCCCUAUUUAGGGAGGGUAUUUCCUAAUGCGUACAAGAAAUAAAUAUAUACGGGCUUGCCACUUGUUUACAGA